CACUCGAUCGAUCUGGUCACUCUCUCUUACCUUCGCUUCUCGAUUCUCUCUCCUCUCCUUUUAUCUACCUGCCAGUCUAUGGCCGUCUUUCCAUAUUCAUCAUCAUCUCCUGCUACGACAAAAACCCCACCUCACACGGCAUUCAGAGACUGAAACAACUCCAUCAACCCUCUUUUAUCUUCUUAGCCUUAUGGGAUUGCAUGCAUGAAAGGGAUCCAAAACCUGUUUGCUCAUGAUCUAGUCAGAUUACAGCAGAGUAAAUAUCAAAACUAUGCGGGAAAAAUCAGGCACAUUUGACAAACUGGAGUCCGCUGUGAAAAGCAUUUCACAUGCAUCAACUGAUUCACGGAGUUAUUUGAGUGGUUUCGAAAAUAACAGUAGUGUCUCCACAGAAGUAUUAGUGUUUGGUAAUAGCAGAUCAAGUCUAACCUUGCCUAGCCAACAAAAUGCUGGACUGGUGACAACAUCUAAUGAAUUAGAAGCAAAGUUUUUGGAGAGAAGUGGAGGUGAAAUAUACAGAGAAGUGGAAACUGCAAAGUUCCUAGAAUCAGUUAAAGCGAACGUCUUGGAACAACCAAUGUCUUACCAUUCCAAGGCUCCUCUUGGACCAAAAUAGUGCACAAGAACUUCUCAAAUUCUCAAGUAUAGCUUCUCCGACGAUGAGCGAACAUCUAAUACCAGUUACUCAACUGAAACUUAAUCAUCUUUUUGGGGUAAUUCGCCUGAUCAUGGUCAAACUUGGCAUAGGGGCACGCUGUAUGGAAUUUCUGAUGUGGAGCUGAGUGGGGAGAUUGAUUCAGUUAUCUUCCUUCUGUUGUUUGAUCUGUUUGCGAGGAGUAUAACACAAAGACUUUCCAGUUUCAGAGACAGCUUAGUUCAGCACAAACUUUUCUUUUUGUCCUAAUGUAAUGUUUUACAUAAUAUUUUGUGUUUUAGGUGCAUCCAGACUUGCAAAGUAUGCACGACUCUAGGUUGGCAUUGCCUCUUGAAUUGGCGGAGGAACCAGUGUAUGUGAACGCGAAACAAUACCAUGGGAUUUUAAGGCGAAGACAACUGCGUGCAAAGGCUGAGUUGGAAAAUAAGGUGGCGAAAGCUAGAAAGCCGUAUCUUCAUGAAUCUCGACACUUGCAUGCUAUGAGAAGAGCCAGAGGUUGCGGAGGCAGGUUCCUGAGCAAAAAGAAUGUUGAUAAAUCAGAUAGCCGUGCUGCUUCCAAGAAGAGCAUCGAUUUUAAUGCUACGCCCACAGAGAUGAAGGAUUCACUUGGUUCUCAGCAUCCCUUUUCCAGCACUUCUCAGAAGAGCUGUAACGAAGUGAAGGGGUUUCUGCUCCAAGAAAUGCAGAACACAAACACUUUUGAAUGGGGAUAUCAAUACCAUUGUAAAACUCAAUAACUACCAAUAGGGACUUCCAGGUAGCCAUCGGACUGGAAAGUUGGGAUGGAGAAAUUCCUCACCACUGCUAAAAAGUGUCUUUUAGCUUGAUACAGUGUUGAUAGCUUGUAAAGUUGUGUGUGAUACUGUGACACAUUCUGCAGCUGUGAAACGGGCGUUUCUAUAAGAGGGAUGGAUUGUUCUUACGAGCAAAAUUUUGGUCUGAGAGUUUCGGUUGUACAGUUAACGUAUUUCUGGUGGCAUAUGAACCAAUUACUGAUGUAUUUAGCAGUAUGGCUGCAGCUGCUUAGCUAUCAAAACAAUCUUAUGACACUAUAAUUUUUAGCCUAAAAUGCACUUCUUGUUUAAGGCCAA